rnacentral:ncRNA from 1 species
UAAAAGUUUUAUUUUAGCUUAUUAAUUUAUUAUAAAUUUGUUUUAUAUGUAAAUUUUUGUGUGAAUUUAUUUUAUUCUAAAAGAAUAGAAUGUUAUUUUUAUUCGCAGUAAAUAAUAUUAAUUAUUAGGUAAUUCUAGAAUUAGUAAUAUUAUUAAGUAUUGGCUAAAUUUGUGCCAGCAGCUGCGGUUAUACAAAGAAUACAAAUAAAUUAUAUUGGGGAUAAGUUAGAUAAAUAAUUAUUUAAUAAAUAAUAAUUUUUUAGGUGAAAUUUUAAUUUAUUUUGAUUAAUAAAAUUAUAGUUAUUGAGGCUUGAAAAUUUUUGUAAUAAACUAGGAUUAGAUACCCUAUUAUAAAAAUUGUAAAUAGUUAACCUUAGAGUAGUAUUAGUUAAGAUCUUGAAACUCAAAAAAUUUGGCGGUAUUUUAGUCUAUUUAGAGGAACCUGUAGUAUAAUCGAUAAUCCACGAUGGACCUUACUUAAUUUUGUUUAUCAGUUUGUAUACCGCUGUUAUUUGAAAAUUUUAUAAGAAUAUUAAUUUUCAUGAUUUUAAAUUAAACAAUAAAUCAGGUCAAGGUGCAGCUUAUGAUUAAGUAUUUAUGGGUUACAAUAAAAUUAUUUAUAUGAAUAAAAAUGUGAAAAUUGUUUUUUGAAAGCGGAUUUAAUAGUAAAUUUUUAAAGAUAAAAGGAUUGAUUUUAGCUCUAAAAUAUGCACACAUCGCCCGUCGCUCUUGUUAUUAAUAUAAGAUAAGUCGUAACAUAGUAGAUGUACUGGAAAGUGUAUCUAGAAUGAC